CAUACGCUCUUUUUAAAGACUAAGCCAUGCACGUGCUAGUUCAUACAUAUUAAAUGUGAGACUGCGGACGGCUCAGUAAAUCAGUUAUAAUCUGCUCGAUUGUUAAAGGUUAGUGGAUAACCGUGGGAAAUCUAGAGCUAAUACAUGCAAUAAAGGGUGCAAGCAAUUGUACUCGAUGGCAUUUAUUAGAAAAUGACCAGCCGUUGGUAUAUAACUGACGUGGUGAAUCUAGAUAACUGUGCAGAUCGUAUGGCCUUGAGCUGACGACAUUUCGAUUGAAUUUCUGCCCUAUCAACUUUUGUCGGUAGUGUAGUGGACUACCGAGGUUUUUACGGGUGACGGGGGAUCAGGGUUCGAUUCCGGAGAGGGAGCCUGAGAAACGGCUACCACAUCCAAGGAAGGCAGCAGGCGCGCAAAUUACCCAAUCCAGACAAUGGGAGGUGGUGACGAAAAGUACCAGAUGACGGUCAUAGAUUGUCAAUUUGGAAUGGAAUCAAUUUAAGUAAUUGAUUGAGAAACUACUGGAGGGCAAGUCUGGUGCCAGCAGCCGCGGUAAUUCCAGCUCCAGUAGCGUAUCUCAAAGUUGCUGCGCUUAAAACGCUCGUAGUUGGAUCACAAACUAUUCGUGAGUGGGUAAGGAGAAGGUGCCAAAUCUAGAACCUUGGAAGUAUGUCAUCAUACAACCGAGGAACUGGACGGUAUAGUCUUGUUUCCGUAAGCUGAUGAAUAGUAAUUACACGUGAGGAUAGACAUUAGCCUUGAGUGAGCCGAUGUUUGUGUCUCACGGAGUGUGCCUUGAGUAAAUCAGAGUGCUUAAAGCAGGCUUUACGCUUGAAUGUUAUAGCAUGGAACGAACAAUCGUGUAGGGUGUAUACUGUACAUGGUUUGUUGGACUUGUCUCACAAACCUCAGUGUACCACACCGACCACCAGUUACGGAUGUUGGUUCCGUAUUGGGGUAUUGAUUAAGAGGAGCGGUUGGGGGCAUUGGUAUUUGACAGCGAGAGGUGAAAUUCUUGGACCUGCCAAGGACUAACAAAUGCGAAGGCAUCUGUCCAGACCGUAUCCAUUAAUCAAGAACGAUAGUGAAAGGUUCGAAGACGAUCAGAUACCGUCCUAGUUUUCACUGUAAACUAUGCCGACCCGGGAUGAGUUUGGAGUUGUAUGAAUGCUCGGAGUUGGUCCCCCUGGGAAACCUAAAGUUUUUCGGUUGCGGGGGGAGUAUGGUCGCAAGGCUGAAACUUAAAGGAAUUGACGGAAGGGCACCACCAGGGGUGGAGCCUGCGGCUUAAUUUGACUCAACACGGGAAAACUUACCUGGUCCGAACAUCCGAAGGAUACACCGACUGAUAGAUCGUUGUUGAUGGGGUGAAAAGUGGUGCAUGGCCGUUCUUAGUUCGUGGAGUGAUCUGUCAGGCCAAUCCCGGUAACGAACGAGACUACAUUCUCCACUUGGCGAGCCAAAGAAGGUACUGGUUUGGUUAGUUUUGGCAACAAAUACUUUCUAAAUUGGUGCUAAAGGCUGCAUAUGCAAGUAGUUUUGACAUUUUAUUGUUUCAAUGGAGUGUUAAAACUAUGCGGGUGUGCUCCCUUUGGUGUAGCAAUGCAUUUCCAUUGAGAGGUGUAUUGUAUCGUGGAGAGACAGCGGAAUAUAUUACAAAAUCCGAGGAAGUGUAGCUAUAACAGGUCCGUGAUGCCCUUAGAUGUUCAGGGCUGCACGCGCGCUACAAUGAUAGCAACAGCGAGUUUCUUAAUCGAAAGAUUUGGGCAACCUUGUAAUUGCUAUCGUGAUGGGGAUCGACGUUUGUAAAUACGUCGUGAAAGAGGAAUCCCUAGUACGUGCGAUUCAUUUAGAUCGCGCGGAUUGCGUCCCUGCCCUUUGUACACACCGCCCGUCGCUACUACCGAGUGAAUCGUGUCAUAAUGCCUUGGAAGCGGACGUUACCUGGGCCUUGUGCUUGGUGUGAUGCUGCGAUCAGCGUAAAAUGGCGCAAUUUCGAGGAAGUAAAACUCGUAACAAGGUUUCCAUACAUUACCUCUAAA
rnacentral:rRNA from 1 species